AUACGGAGGGUGCAAGCGUUAAUCGGAAUUACUGGGCGUAAAGGGCGCGUAGGUGGUUAGGUCAGUCGGAUGUGAAAGCCCCGGGCUCAACCUGGGAAUGCCAUUCGAUACUGCCUAACUAGAGUAUGGUAGAGGGAAGCGGAAUUCCGGGUGUAGCGGUGAAAUGCGUAGAUAUCCGGAGGAACACCAGUGGCGAAGGCGGCUUCCUGGAUCAAUACUGACACUGAGGCGCGAAAGCGUGGGGAGCAAACAGGAUUAGAAACCCCGGUAGUCC
rnacentral:rRNA from 1 species